GCACCAAAUUGGAGGCGUUUGCCAACCGGGUCACCUAAUACUGAGGAGCUCCAAGGGAAAAGAAGGGACGUGCUAAAAGGUUGGACGCGCGGCUGGGGUGCGGAAUUAAUGCCUCUAAUUCCAGAUUAGAUUUCACAUUCAACGUUGCUCAUUGUCGAAGCUGCGACCAGAAGAAGAGACCGCUUGCGGCGAAACCCGAGUCUGCACGGAGCCAAAUGGUCCGGAGGAUUCACACAGCGUCUGCGUUAGAGGGCCUGGAGGCAGUGCGUCAGUGGUCCCAGAGAUGACCAGGUGGUCAGCGCGGGUGUUCGUUCCCGGAACGGACUCACCGAGGGAAUCUCCGUAUGUGGCUGACGCGGAAGGCUGUUGAUGCUGCUGAUCUCUGAUGCUGCUGCGCGGAUCACUGCUGCUAAUG